UAAAUUAUUGUAUUUUACGUUUGAUAAGUAAAUUUUAUGAACAAAAAGAAAUUGAAGGAAAGAGGCAAAAAUGGGCGAAAAGUGGCAAAAUUCAAGUACAAGGAUUACAUUGCAUUAACUUAAAAUAUUGGGUGGCUUGAAGGGCAAAAUAACAUUAAUUGCUUUGAAUUGAAUUCUUUUAGAGUCAAAUAUGGCUGCUAGGUUUGGGGAAGGGAAUCUGCCAUAUAUUACGUAGAGAAAAAUUGGCUGCCUUUAUUAAUUCUCUCUCUAUAUACACGCACGGAAAUCGAGAAUCAAUUGAGGGGAAUCUGCCAUAUUAUAUUUUACACAAGAAUUGGAGAGAAAAGGACACACACAGAAAACUGGAACGGCUGGGACUACACAAACACAGUAGGCGCUGAUUUUGGAGGCGAUUUUGGGCUAAUAUCUAUAUACAGAUUGGCGGCUACUACUCAUAUAACAAGGCAACGUACGACGGCAGAAAGCAUUGGCAAAUUAAUUAUGUUCCGUCAAUUAAUCC
rnacentral:lncRNA from 1 species